CAGCAGCCGCGGGAAUACGUAGGUGGCAAGCGUUGUCCGGAAUUAUUGGGCGUAAAGGGCUCGCAGGCGGUUUCUUAAGCCUGAUGUGAAAGCCCCCGGCUCAACCGGGGAGGGUCAUUGGAAGCUGGGAAACUUGAGUGCAGAAGAGGAGAGUGGAAUUCCACGUGUAGCGGUGAAAUGCGUAGAGAUGUGGAGGAACACCAGUGGCGAAGGCGACUCUCUGGUCUGUAACUGACGCUGAGGAGCGAAAGCGUGGGGAGCGAACAGGAUUAGAUACCCCCGUAGUCCCUGUCUCUUAUAC
rnacentral:rRNA from 1 species